rnacentral:rRNA from 1 species
UACAGAGGGUGCAAGCGUUAAUCGGAGUUACUGGGCGUAAAGGGCGCGUAGGCGGUUAUUUAAGUGAGAUGUGAAAUCCCUGGGCUUAACCUAGGAACUGCAUCUUAUACUGGAUGACUGGAGUACUGUAGAGGGUAGUGGAAUUUCCGGUGUAGCGGUGAAAUGCGUAGAGAUCGGAAGGAACACCAGUGGCGAAGGCGGCUACCUGGACAGAUACUGACGCUGAGGCGCGAGAGCGUGGGGAG